rnacentral:rRNA from 1 species
CAGGCCUAACACAUGCAAGUCGAACGCUGUGGCAACACAGAGUGGCAGACGGGUGAGUAACACGUGGGAACGUACCCCUUUGUUCGGAAUAACCCUGGGAAACUAGGGCUAAUACCGGAUACGGCCGUGAGGCGAAAGGUUUACCGCUGAGGGAUCGGCCCGCGUCCGAUUAGCUAGUUGGUGUGGUAAUGGCGCACCAAGGCGACGAUCGGUAGCUGGUCUGAGAGGAUGACCAGCCACAUUGGGACUGAGACACGGCCCAAACUCCUACGGGAGGCAGCAGUGGGGAAUAUUGGACAAUGGGCGCAAGCCUGAUCCAGCCAUGCCGCGUGAGUGAUGACGGCCUUAGGGUUGUAAAGCUCUUUUACCUGGGAAGAUAAUGACGGUACCAGGAGAAUAAGCCCCGGCUAACUUCGUGCCAGCAGCCGCGGUAAU